rnacentral:rRNA from 1 species
UAUGUCGCAAGCGUUAUCCGGAUUUAUUGGGCGUAAAGCGCGUCUAGGCGGCCAGAUAAGUCUGAUAUGAAAAUGCGGGGCUCAACUCCGUAUUGCGUUGGAAACUGUAUGGCUAGAGUACUGGAGAGGUAAGCGGAACUACAAGUGUAGAGGUGAAAUUCGUAGAUAUUUGUAGGAAUGCCGAUGGGGAAGCCAGCUUACUGGACAGAUACUGACGCUAAAGCGCGAAAGCGUGGGUAGCAAA